AUCCACUCAAGCUUUUAUACCCUCCAAGGCUCCGCCCACAAAUACUUCAAAGGAAAAGAUACCAACUGAAGAAACUGUAUCCAGGAUAGGAUACCACUCCUGGGGUAACUGAUCUCUCUUGCACUGUCAUUCUCCUUCAUUCUCUCUAUCAUUCCUUUCUUAAUGGAGAGUGUAACUGAUAUGCUUGCAUAAUGUUAAGGGACUCAUGUACGAGAAGGAAACAUCAAAAAUCAUUCAACUAUAGGAGUACUUUCAGGGAAGCACAGCUUUUCAGAGAGCCUGGUUACAUGGGAAAGCACAGCCAGAAGGGAUCAAAAUUGGCAGCUGGGAAUUGUUUGCUGGAGUGCUUUUUAGACAUCGUAGCAGAAAAGCCAUAAGGAAAAAGGAACAGUUGGAACAGCUUGACAGAAGUAUAUUGGAUUGUGUGCCAUCAGAAAAUAAUCACACAACAUCGCAUGGAGCCUAAACUGAACAUAGUUUUCUUCAGUCCAAGAAAGAAACAAUCUCUCUCUUCUUUUUAUAACUUUCCUUCAUAUAACCAUUCAUGUACAAUAGUUGAAAAAUGUGGGGUUUUUUUCUAAAAUGCUACAGUGUGGGCCUGGAAACCUAUUUCAUUUUUUUUUUUAAAAGAAGAAGUAAAAUAUUAACCUGAAUGAGGAAAAGUCUUUAGUUGCCUUUUCGCUGAAAUCAACCAAAUGCCUUAAUUCAAAUGCUGACAGAUCACACGUGUCAGCAAUUCAUUUCUGCAAAUCAGGUGUAGAGUUGUCUUUCCAAUGUUGUAUAUAAUCUUUUUGGCUGUCCUCCCUGAACAAAAAAAAAAAAAAAAGCAAAACUUUGAUGUCUUGAUAGAUUCCAAAUGUUGGGGAUAUAACCAAGAGCAUAUGUAUCCUUAAUCAGCAUUAAUUGACCUAACUCAUGUUAAGAAUCUUGUGGGUUUCAGCCCAAAAUAUGACAAUAGCAAGAUGAGUCCAAAUUCAUGUGAAUAAAAUGUUCCAACUUCUGAAUUACACCUCUAAUAGCAGGCAAUUGCAUCCACCCUUUAUUAAACACUCUAUCAGGUGUUGUAUACACAUGACAGAUAUUUUUUGUUGUCUAAUCCACAUUUUAAAGGUCAAAAUAAAUUUUUCCAAGGGUC